UCUAUGGUGGUCUAGUGGCUAAGACUCCAUGCUCCCAAUGUAGGGGGUCCAGGUUCAAUUCCUGUUCAGGGAA
rnacentral:tRNA from 1 species